rnacentral:rRNA from 1 species
AGACGUCUACAUUAGAUACCCGUGUAGUCCCAGUCGUAAACUAUGCGCGUUAGGUGUAUCGGUGACCACGAGUCACCGAGGUGCCGAAGGGAAACCGUGAAACGUGCCGCCUGGGAAGUACGGUCGCAAGGCUAGAAACUUAAAGGAAUUGGCGGGGAGCACCACAACGGGUGGAGCCUGCGGUUUAAUUGGACUCAACGCCGGGAAGCUCACCGGAUAAGACAGCGGAAUGAUUGCCGGGCUGAAGACUCUGCAUGACUAGCUG